GCCCACGUAGCUCAGCUGGUAGAGCAGGGCUUUCGUAAAGCUCAGGUCGGAGGUUCAAUCCCUCUCGUGGGCU
rnacentral:tRNA from 1 species